rnacentral:rRNA from 1 species
GCAGGCCUAACACAUGCAAGUCGAGGGGUAACGAUGGCUUCGGCCAGGCGACGACCGGCGCACGGGUGAGUAACGCGUUUGUAACCUACCUCUGUCUGGAGAAUAGCCCGAAGAAAUUCGGAUUAAUGCUCCGUAACACCAUGAUGAGGCAUCUCGUCAUGGUCUAAGCUCCGGCGGUCAGAGAUGGACAUGCGUAACAUUAGCUUGUUGGUGAGGUUACGGCUCACCAAGGCUACGAUGUUUAGGGGGUCUGAGAGGAUGGUCCCCCACACUGGUACUGAGACACGGACCAGACUUCUACGGAAGGCAGCAGUGAGGAAUAUUGGUCAAUGGGCGAAAGCCUGAACCAGCCAUGCCGCGUGAAGGAGGACAGCCCUACGGGUUGUAAACUUCUUUUGUACGGGAAGAAACACUUCUACGUGUAGAAGCUUGACGGUACCGUACGAAUAAGCAUCGGCUAACUCCGUGCCAGCAGCCGCGGUAAUACGGAGGAUGCAAGCGUUAUCCGGAUUCAUUGGGUUUAAAGGGUACGUAGGCGGAAGAUUAAGUCAGUGGUGAAAUCCUGCAGCUUAACUGUAGAACUGUCAUUGAUACUGAUCUUCUUGAAUAUAGUUGAGGUAGGCGGAAUGUGUAAUGUAGCGGUGAAAUGCUUAGAUAUUACACAGAACACCGAUUGCGAAGGCAGCUUACUAAACUAUGAUUGACGCUGAGGUACGAAAGCGUGGGGAGCGAACAGGAUUAGAUACCCUGGUAGUCCACGCUGUAAACGAUGAUCACUCGUUGUUGGCGAUAUAGUGUCAGCGACUGAGCGAAGGCAUUACGUGAUCCACCUGGGGAGUACGAUCGCAAGAUUGAAACUCAAGGGAAUUGACGGGGGCCCGCACAAGCGGAGGAACAUGUGGUUUAAUUCGAUGAUACGCGAGGACCCUUACCUGGGCUUAUAUGUAGAACGACGGAUCGGGGAAACUGAUCCUUGACUGCGUCCGCUACUGCAAGGUGUGGCAUGCCUCUCGUCAGCUCGUGCCGUGAGGUGUCGGGUUAAGUCCCAUAACGAGCGCAACCCUCAUCAUUAGUUGCCAGCGGGUAAUGCCGGGGACUCUAAUGAAACUGCCGGUGUAAACCGAGAGGAAGGUGGGGAUGACGUCAAGUCAGCACGGCCCUUAUGUCCAGGGCUACACACGUGUUACAAUGGUCGAUACAAAGGGCAGCUACCU